rnacentral:rRNA from 1 species
UGGGGAAUUUUGGACAAUGGGCGAAAGCCUGAUCCAGCAAUGCCGCGUGUGUGAAGAAGGCCUUCGGGUUGUAAAGCACUUUUGUCCGGAAAGAAAUCCUUGGCUCUAAUACAGUCGGGGGAUGACGGUACCGGAAGAAUAAGCACCGGCUAACUACGUGCCAGCAGCCGCGGUAAUACGUAGGGUGCAAGCGUUAAUCGGAAUUACUGGGCGUAAAGCGUGCGCAGGCGGUUUGCUAAGACCGAUGUGAAAUCCCCGGGCUCAACCUGGGAACUGCAUUGGUGACUGGCAGGCUAGAGUAUGGCAGAGGGGGGUAGAAUUCCACGUGUAGCAGUGAAAUGCGUAGAGAUGUGGAGGAAUACCGAUGGCGAAGGCAGCCCCCUGGGCCAAUACUGACGCUCAUGCACGAAAGCGUGGGGAGCAAACAGGAUUAGAUACCCUGGUAGUCCACGCCCUAAACGAUGUCAACUGUUGUUGGGGAUUCAUUCUUAGUAACGUAGCUAACGCGUGAAGUUGACCGCCUGGGGAGUACGGUCG